rnacentral:rRNA from 1 species
GAUGAACGCUGGCGGCGUGCCUAAUACAUGCAAGUCGAGCGAACGGACGAGAAGCUUGCUUCUCUGAUGUUAGCGGCGGACGGGUGAGUAACACGUGGAUAACCUACCUAUAAGACUGGGAUAACUUCGGGAAACCGGAGCUAAUACCGGAUGAUAUUUUGAACCGCAUGGUUCAAAAGUGAAAGACGGUCUUGCUGUCACUUAUAGAUGGAUCCGCGCUGCAUUAGCUAGUUGGUAAGGUAACGGCUUACCAAGGCAACGAUGCAUAGCCGACCUGAGAGGGUGAUCGGCCACACUGGAACUGAGACACUGUCCAGACUCCUACGGGAGGCAGCAGUAGGGAAUCUUCCGCAAUGGGCGAAAGCCUGACGGAGCAACGCCGCGUGAGUGAUGAAGGUCUUCGGAUCGUAAAACUCUGUUAUUAGGGAAGAACAUAUGUGUAAGUAACUGUGCACAUCUUGACGGUACCUAAUCAGAAAGCCACGGCUAACUACGUGCCAGCAGCCGCGGUAAUACGUAGGUGGCAAGCGUUAUCCGGAAUUAUUGGGCGUAAAGCGCGCAUAGGCGGUUUUUUAAGUCUGAUGUGAAAGCCCACGGCUCAACCGUGGAGGGUCAUUGGAAACUGGAAAACUUGAGUGCAGAAGAGGAAAGUGGAAUUCCAUGUGUAGCGGUGAAAUGCGCAGAGAUAUGGAGGAACACCAGUGGCGAAGGCGACUUUCUGGUCUGUAACUGACGCUGAUGUGCGAAAGCGUGGGGAUCAAACAGGAUUAGAUACCCUGGUAGUCCACGCCGUAAACGAUGAGUGCUAAGUGUUAGGGGGUUUCCGCCCCUUAGUGCUGCAGCUAACGCAUUAAGCACUCCGCCUGGGGAGUACGACCGCAAGGUUGAAACUCAAAGGAAUUGACGGGGACCCGCACAAGCGGUGGAGCAUGUGGUUUAAUUCGAAGCAACGCGAAGAACCUUACCAAAUCUUGACAUCCUUUGACAACUCUAGAGAUAGAGCCUUCCCCUUCGGGGGACAAAGUGACAGGUGGUGCAUGGUUGUCGUCAGCUCGUGUCGUGAGAUGUUGGGUUAAGUCCCGCAACGAGCGCAACCCUUAAGCUUAGUUGCCAUCAUUAGGUUGGGCACUCUAAGUUGACUGCCGGUGACAAACCGGAGGAAGGUGGGGAUGACGUCAAAUCAUCAUGCCCCUUAUGAUUUGGGCUACACACGUGCUACAAUGGACAAUACAAAGGGCUGCGAAACCGCGAGGUCAAGCAAAUCCCAUAAAGUUGUUCUCAGUUCGGAUUGUAGUCUGCAACUCGACUACAUGAAGCUGGAAUCGCUAGUAAUCGUAGAUCAGCAUGCUACGGUGAAUACGUUCCCGGGUCU